rnacentral:rRNA from 1 species
AUACGUAGGGGGCUAGCGUUAUCCGGAAUUACUGGGCGUAAAGGGUGCGUAGGUGGUUUCUUAAGUCAGAAGUGAAAGGCUACGGCUCAACCGUAGUAAGUUUUUGAAACUAAGAGACUUGAGUGCAGGAGAGGAGAGUAGAAUUCCUAGUGUAGCGGUGAAAUGCGUAGAUAUUAGGAGGAAUACCAGUUGCGAAGGCGGCUCUCUGGACUGUAACUGACACUGAGGCACGAAAGCGUGGGGAGCAAACAGGAUUAGAUACCCUGGUAGUCCACGCCGUAAACGAUGAGUACUAGCUGUCGGGGGUUACCCCCCUCGGUGGCGCAGCUAACGCAUUAAGUACUCCGCCUGGGAAGUACGCUCGCAAGAGUGAAACUCAAAGGAAUUGGCGGGG